rnacentral:rRNA from 1 species
UUCCGGUUGAUCCUGCCGGACCCGACUGCUAUCGGAUUGAGAUUUAGCCAUGCGAGUCGAACGUCCCCCUGUUGCGGGGGGCGUGGCGUACGGCUCAGUAACACGUAGUCAACCUGCCCUGGAGACAAGGACAACCCCGGGAAACUGGGAUUAAUCCUUGAUAGGUCAUCUCAUCUGGAAGGAGAGAUGGCUUAAAGGGGUACGCGGGCUUCUUCCGCGAAUCUGCUCCAGGAUGGGACUGCGUCCGAUCAGGCUGUUGGCGGGGUAAUGGCCCACCAAACCUGUAACCGGUACGGGCCUUGAGAGAGGUGGCCCGGAGAUGGACACUGAGAGAAGGGUCCAGGUCCUACGGGGCGCAGCAGGCGCGAAACCUUCGCAAUGCGCGAAAGCGUGACGAAGUUAAUCCGAGUGACUCCCGCUGAGGGGGUCUUUUGUCAGCUGUAAACAGGCAGGCGAAUAAGGGGAGGGCAAGCCUGGUGUCAGCCGCCGCGGUAAUACCAGCUCCUCGAGUGGUCGGGGCGAUUAUUGGGCCUAAAGCAUCCGUAGCCGGUUCCGUAGGUCCUCUGUUAAAUCCAACCGCUUAACGGUUGACCUGCAGAGGAUACCGCGGGACUAGGAGGCGGGAGAGGCGGACGGUACUCCGCGUGUAGGGGUAAAAUCCUUUGAUCCGCGGAAGACCACCAGUGGCGAAGGCGGUCCGCCAGAACGCGCUCGACGGUGAGGGAUGAAAGCUGGGGGAGCGAACCGGAUUAGAUACCCGGGUAGUCCCAG